rnacentral:rRNA from 1 species
UAGGGAAUCUUCGGCAAUGGACGAAAGUCUGACCGAGCAACGCCGCGUGAGUGAAGAAGGUUUUCGGAUCGUAAAACUCUGUUGUUAGAGAAGAACAAGGACGUUAGUAACUGAACGUCCCCUGACGGUAUCUAACCAGAAAGCCACGGCUAACUACGUGCCAGCAGCCGCGGUAAUACGUAGGUGGCAAGCGUUGUCCGGAUUUAUUGGGCGUAAAGCGAGCGCAGGCGGUUUCUUAAGUCUGAUGUGAAAGCCCCCGGCUCAACCGGGGAGGGUCAUUGGAAGCUGGGAGACUUGAGUGCAGAAGAGGAGAGUGGAAUUCCAUGUGUAGCGGUGAAAUGCGUAGAUAUAUGGAGGAACACCAGUGGCGAAGGCGGCUCUCUGGUCUGUAACUGACGCUGAGGCUCGAAAGCGGGGGGAACAAACAGG